GGAAGAACGGCUCAAAUGGGAUUUUCUCCAGCGCCGCUGUUGUCAUGGGAACGCAAGGCCCUUCCUCCUCAAUUUGCAUAAGCUCCUCCCAUCGUCACGAGGGGCUCCUCCUUCGGAAGCGCCCAAAAGCAUCACGAGCGCGCUGUUGGUGCCACGCUAAACAUGCCAGUUCUUCUUGUUGUGUGCCUUCAGUUUGUUUCCAAUUUAUGGCAAUCCUACAAGGAUUUAUCAUGGACUUUUCUUGACAUGAUUUGUUCAAAGCAGAUGUGCCUUUCACUGAGGAUGAGAAAGUGUGACCUAAUCAAGGUGUCACACUCAGUUUCUGGAACGAUUCCAUCAGCGUUGCCUCCAAAAAAAUCCUGCAAAUCUCAUAGGAAGACAGGCAGACAAAUGUCAGAGUGCUGGAAGAAGCAAAAGCCACCAGCAUUGAAGCAAUGGUCAGUCCAGUGCCAUCAACUCCACUGGACUGACCACAUUGUCUGAAUGUCCAAUCAACGUCUCCCAAAGCAGUUACUAUACUCCCAACUCAAGAAUGGAAAAUGGAAUGUUGGUCGACAGGAAAAGAAAUUUAAAGAUGGGCUUAAAGCUAGCUUUAAAAACUGUGGUAUAGACACUGAGAACCAGGACGCUCUGGCCCUUGAGUGCUCUAGCUGGAGGUCAGCUGUGACCAACAGUGCUGUGGAAUUUGAAGAGGCACAAAUGGAGGGAGAAAGAGAGAAAUGUGCCAAGAGGAAGGUGCGUGAAGCCAAUCCUGACCAGGACCACAUUCCACCUGGAAACCGAUGGAAGAACAUAUGGGUCAAGAAUAAGCCUCCACAGCCACCUAUGUACCCACCACUAAGACACUACACUUGGAAGACCAUCAUACUUGGACAAUGAGGGAUCACCUGAGUAAUGUAAUAAUUUGUAAUGCUGAUUUCAAAAAUACUAUAAUUAUAUCAGUUCAGUACCAGUUAAGAUCCCUUUAUCUUCAUACGUUUUAUAUUCCUUUCAUUUUUAUUUUAGGCACAUCUAUCCCACCUUGUAACCACAGUAUCACAGUAGCUGACAACAAAAACAUUGUAAUUAUUGAUGUCAUCAUAAUAUAAUACCUGUAAUAAUAAUAAUAAUAAUAAUAAUAAUAAUAAUAAUAAUACAGUAAGAGCCACAGGUAGAAUUUUAUCAGUAAAAGGAAACCCCAGAUAUGAAAUUAAAACCUGAAAGAAUGGUAAAGAUUUUAACUGGUGCCUAAAAGUUAGGAAGAAUGGUGCCACAUAUACCUGCUUAGUCAAGGUUGUAUGCCUUCAAUUAAAAGGUCCUUCCUCUUAUCUGCCUAUGAUAAUAGUUCACUUCAGAAGAUGGGUCUCACAGAGAAGAGCCUAUGAUUAUGGCUUCUUAUUGUAAGCUGCUCCGAGUCCCUUUGGGGAGAAGGGGUGGGAUACAAAUAACAUUUAUUUAUUUAUUUAUUUAUUACUACUACAACUGUAAUUCCUUCCCUGCCCCCUGAGCUGUUUCAGACAUCCUGGCCGUAGGCCAUGAAGGGAAUUAAAGGUCAGAACUAGUCAGCGGACCUGAACUUCUCCUUGUCAGAUUCUAGACUCUCUAACCCAUCUGGCUAAUUUACAUAUUAUGCAAAUUAUAUAAUUAUGCAUGCUCUGAUUUGCAUUUUAAUGCAAAUUUGGUUGUUGCCAUCUUUCCUACCUCUAUGCCAACAUAAAUUGUUGCCGCUUUUCUACCAUUCUCUUUGAGCCUUUGUACCUUUUAAAAAUAGGAACUGGUGACAUAAGAUAAUUGAUAUAUGGUAAUAUUUAAACCUGGCCUGAAAAGAGAAAGAUCCAAUUUCAUAUCCCUCUUUGUUUUUUUCCCAAUAGCAAAAAGUUAUAGAUCUAUGAAAAUGCUUCAGGAAGCCCCUGAGAGUGAUUUCAAUUGAUCCGUGGGGGAAGGAAGCAAAACAACACAAGGACAAACAAGAAUAAUUGUAGGAAAGAGACAAUGUGUGAUGUCCUUCAGCCAACCGGAUUCAAUGUUUUAUGGUAACGAGAAAAUACUCUAGUUUCAUUCUCUUUGUCCUAAUCUGGUUUUUCUUACAUUAUGUAUGCUAAUAAACUCAUUUAUACUUUGACACUAUUGUUUGUAAAUUAUCAGUCAAGGUGAUAAUAAACAUUUGUAUUAUUUCAAUUUUGGUUCUUCUCACUUCUAGUGAGAUAAUCCAACCAAGCCAUGUAUAUAAUUGCCUACAGAGGCAGCUCCUUUUUGGUUGUUUCUUAACAUAGCCUACACUGCUGAUAGAAAUGGUAUUUCUAAUAAAUGUUGUAUAUAAAUCUUUUGUUCCCAUUACUUAGGAGCGCAACUCAUUUAACUUCAACAUAUUUGUGACUAAAUGGUUAAAAUGUCCAUAUCAUUAUCCCAAGAAAAUAAAUGUAGAGAUGGUUCUCCCAAAAUGAUUUUA